UGUGUAUCUCCUACACAAUUUUGUCUGGACUCUCAAUAUUGAACUUUCUAGAAAGUAAGAAUUCUUCUUCCAUUGUAAAAGAGUUCCAGGAAGAAACAUAUACUCAAAAAGACUUCUCUGAUCUUCUCAUGUCUUCUCAUGUGUUGCGAUUUCAGGUUAGUUAUCUCAAUCUUUGCCCUAAGCCUUUUCUGGUUCUCAAUCUCAAGGCUUCAAAGAUUGUUCUUUUAGAUCUCUUCCUUUUCACUAUUGGGUGUUCCAAUUUCAAGGCUACUUUUUUAUUUUAUUUUUUUUGCUCAAAUUCCUUUUCGGUUCAAUUUAACAAGUGAACUUCAUGGAUGAUAUUGUUAUUGUGUUGUCUCCCACUCCCCAAUUUCAUGGUGGAUAAUGAAUUACACUACAUCAGUUUUCUACUCCGCAGACAACCAUACCCUAGGAGUAUACACUCUCUCCCUCUAGCUUCAAAAGAUACUAACAGUCUUUAUUAGUUUUCUCAGGACUUUUAGAAAAUACUUACUUUUCUUCAUCCUUUCAAUUAAUUUACCAAUUCCAGGAAUAUUUCUACCUUAGUGUUGGUGCAUAGAUAGGCGGUUGGAGUUCAGGUAAGUUUUUCUCUCAAUUUUUGUUAUGAUUUUUUUUUCCAAUUCUUUUCAAAUUCCUCAACAUAUAGAAAGGGUUAGAUUCAAGAACCGAAUGAUUUUGUGUGAAGCUUUGAGUCUCUACUGUUGUUGUCGAUAGAUUGACGUUGGGUGUCUAUCGGCUGAAUCUCAGGACGACAAUCUUGUCCUUUUUUUUUAAAAAAUAAAUAAAUAAAUUUCUUGAUUCCUUUGAUGGUGGGGCAGUUAAUUUAGGUUCAUGGCAUUGGGUUGUGCAUAUGCCAUGCAAAGGGUCAUUACACCACUGGUGACUUUAUUCAUACCAUUCACACCUUCAUAUGCGGCGUAUCAUGGGAGAAACGAACUUAGAAAUGGGUCAACCCUAGCAAUUCAAAAGGCAUAGAAGAGAGCAUGAAGUGCUCUCGUAGAUUCUUUGGUAAAUUGACAAGAAUACAGUAAAGGUGCGUUCGUCACUCGCAAUCUACUUUUGUAUAAUUGUUCAACUCGCAUUUGAUAUUCAAAUCACAUUUUCUAUAGCUUUGUCUUGAUUAGCCUGCAGUUCUUUGUUGAGCAGUUUGUUAGUCAUUAAUGUGGGACAUAACAUACAAAUAAGAGAAUACUUAUUUUUACAUGGAUGAUACUUUUAAAGCAUGUUUGAAUAAUUUUAGCUUUAUUUUAAAGCUAUACAAAACUUUGAGGUACCUCAAAGUUCUAGAUGUUGCUACAAAGAAGCAACUACACGUAUUGUUGACAAUUUCUUCAAAUUAGAUGUAUUAAUGAUAUAUUUUGACAAUUUUUUAGCAAUAAUAGAGCUUCUUGAGGCGCAUAUGUUGUGAUUGUGCGUACUUUUUCUUGACAUUAUUGCCUCUUGAUUGUGCAGAAUUUUUUUGUGACUUUGUUGCGAAGAAAAUGGAGGAUGUUUUUGCUGGUGACUGGGGGUGGUAAAUCAUGGUUUUACUUGUUGUUUUCUCAAUAUAAUAUGUGAUUUAACGAUUUAAGAAGGAAACUAACUUUGAAAACAACUCUGAUUCACAAUUUGGGAUGAAACGGUGCGCUACUGUUUGCCGAGUAUCUGUACUGAUCAAAGAAAACACUAAGGUUGGUUCAUGCAGGAUGGAACACUCAUGGAGCUUUCAAAUUGUUAAAUGAGAAUAUUGAGGCUCAAUGAGAAUAGCAAGCAGAUAUUUACAUGUCUUCAAAACCAUCUAAAUCACUGAUCACCAUCAUCUCUAACCCUCCAUGAAAAGUACAUCUAAGGACACUCUUCAAAAGUUUUAGCAAAUUCUGUAAGGAUGAGAUUUGAAAGAAAAUUCCAAAACCAAUCUAACCGUGGUUGGAGUUUAAUGAAGACUUUUUCGAUGAAUAUUUGGAGGUAUAUAUUCAUAAUUUGGACUGCACUGACUUUUCUAAAUUAAGGAGCUCUGAAAGAUUACAUGCUUUCUGGAUGAGAUCGGGAUUAUUUGUGCGGAAGAACAGUUGCGAAUGUAAAAGUGAAAGAGCACACCGAUUCGGACGAAGUGUAGCUUGGGUUUGCUUUAGCCGUUUUGCACACUUUUUUUUUGAAAGCAAGUACAGUAAUCAAGUUUUAAAAAUAAGAAGGGUGUUAUAUUAAUUUAACUUUUAAGUUAGGAAGUUCAUGCUUUUAUGGUAGUAUAGAAGAUAUAGAUUAUAUUUGCAUGUCUUCAAGUUGCCUCCUCCUCCCAUCUUUUCAUUUAAAUUUCUCAUUGUUUUCUUAUGUAUCGGAGCUACAUUAUUUUUGUUUUGGGAUUAUUUUACCAUCUUAUAUUUUCGCUGUUUCAGUA